UACGGAGGGUGCAAGCAUUAAUCGGAUUUAUUGGGCGUAAAGGGCGCGUAGGCGGGUAGGCAAGUCAGAUGUGAAAUCCCGGAGCUCAACUCCGGAACAGCAUUUGAAACUGCCAAUCUAGAGGGUAGGCGGAGAAAAUAGAAUUCCACAAGUAGCGGUGAAAUGCGUAGAUAUGUGGAAGAAUACCAGUGGCGAAGGCGAUUUUCUAGCUUAUACCUGACGCUGAGGCGCGAAAGCAAGGGGAUCAAACAGG
rnacentral:rRNA from 1 species